rnacentral:rRNA from 1 species
UACGUAGGGUGCGAGCGUUGUCCGGAAUUACUGGGCGUAAAGCGUGCGCAGGCGGUUCGUUAAGACAGAUGUGAAAUCCCCGGGCUCAACCUGGGAACUGCAUUUGUGACUGCAUCGCUGGAGUGCGGCAGAGGGGGAUGGAAUUCCGCGUGUAGCAGUGAAAUGCGUAGAUAUGCGGAGGAACACCGAUGGCGAAGGCAAUCCCCUGGGCCUGCACUGACGCUCAUGCACGAAAGCGUGGGGAGCAAACAGG